GAUGAACGCUGGCGGCGUGCCUAAUACAUGCAAGUCGAACGAACAGACCAUGCUCUUGUUCCUUGCUCGUUUGCCGCACGCGUGUGAAUCACGCGUGUAUCCCCUCCUUGUCUUAGUGAGAUCACUACGAAACUCCGGCUAUUAUCCCAUAUAAUAUUUUGCACCACAUUGUUCGAUGGUGAAAUAUGGCUUUUUUGGCGCUUGUCGAUGGACCUGCGGCUUAUCAGCUAGUUGGUGAGGUAGUGGCUUACCAAGGCAACGACGGGUAGCCGGCCUGAGAGGGUGACCGGCCACAUUGGGACUGAGAUACGGCCCAGACUCCUACGGGAGGCAGCAGUGGGGAAUAUUGCACAAUGGGCGGAAGCCUGAUGCAGCAGCGCCGCGUGCGGGAUGACGGCCUUCGGGUUGUAAACCGCUGUCGCCUGUGACGAAGCGUGAGUGACGGUAAUGGGUAAAGAAGCACCGGCUAACUACGUG
rnacentral:rRNA from 1 species